GUACACUCCUGCGGGAGGCAGCAGUGGGGAAUUUUGGACAAUGGGCGAAAGCCUGAUCCAGCAAUGCCGCGUGAGUGAAGAAGGCCUUCGGGUUGUAAAGCUCUUUUGUCAGGGAAGAAACGGUGAAAGCUAAUAUCUUUUGCUAAUGACGGUACCUGAAGAAUAAGCACCGGCUAACUACGUGCCAGCAGCCGCGGUAAUACGUAGGGUGCAAGCGUUAAUCGGAAUUACUGGGCGUAAAGCGUGCGCAGGCGGUUUUGUAAGUCUGAUGUGAAAUCCCCGGGCUCAACCUGGGAAUUGCAUUGGAGACUGCAAGGCUAGAAUCUGGCAGAGGGGGGUAGAAUUCCACGUGUAGCAGUGAAAUGCGUAGAUAUGUGGAGGAACACCGAUGGCGAAGGCAGCCCCCUGGGUCAAGAUUGACGCUCAUGCACGAAAGCGUGGGGAGCAAACAGGAUUAGAUACCCGUGUAGUCCCAUG
rnacentral:rRNA from 1 species